UCCCCGUUACCGAGGCAGUCUGAUUAGAAAAAUUCAACUAAUCACAAGGGUUGCGCUCGUUGAAGGACUUAACCUAACAUCUCACGACACGAGCUGACGACGGCCAUGCAACACCUGUCACUUGGCUCAAUAAAGCACUUUCUCCUUUCGGAGAAAUUCCAAGGAUGUCAAACCCUGGUAAGGUUCUUCGUUUACCAUCGAAUUAAAGAACACGCUCCACCGCUUGUGCGGGUCCCCGUCAAUUCCUUUAUGUUUUAAGCUUGCGCUCGUACUCCACAGGCGGGAUGCUUAACGCGUUAGCUUCGUUACGAGAAGGGUCGAUACUUCUCACAACUAGCAUCCAUCGUUUACGGCGUGGACUAA
rnacentral:misc_RNA from 1 species